rnacentral:rRNA from 1 species
UGGGGAAUAUUGGACAAUGGGCGCAAGCCUGAUCCAGCAAUGCCGCGUGUGUGAAGAAGGUUUUCGGAUUGUAAAGCACUUUCGGCGGGGACGAUGAUGACGGUACCCGCAGAAGAAGCCCCGGCUAACUUCGUGCCAGCAGCCGCGGUAAUACGAAGGGGGCUAGCGUUGCUCGGAAUGACUGGGCGUAAAGGGCGCGUAGGCGGAAAUGACAGUCAGACGUGAAAUUCCUGGGCUCAACCUGGGGACUGCGUUUGAGACGUUGUAUCUAGAGUGAGGAAGAGGGUUGUGGAAUUCCCAGUGUAGAGGUGAAAUUCGUAGAUAUUGGGAAGAACACCGGUGGCGAAGGCGGCAACCUGGUCCUUUACUGACGCUGAGGCGCGAAAGCGUGGGGAGCAAACAGGAUUAGAUACCCUGGUAGUCCACGCUGUAAACGAUGUGUGCUGGAUGUUGGGUGACUUAGUCACUCAGUGUCGUAGCUAACGCGAUAAGCACACCGCCUGGGGAGUACGGCCGCAAGGUUG